UACAUGGGGUGCAAACGUUGCUCGGAAUUAUUGGGCGUAAAGCGCACGUAGGCGGCUUGUUAAGUCGGAUGUGAAAUCCCUCGGCUCAACUGAGGAAGUGCAUCCGAAACUGGCAAGCUUGAGUACGAAAGAGGGUCGCGGAAUUCCCGGUGUAGAGGUGAAAUUCGUAGAUAUCGGGAGGAACACCGGUGGCGAAGGCGGCGACCUGGGUCGAUACUGACGCUGAGGUGCGAAAGCGUGGGGAGCAAACAGG
rnacentral:rRNA from 1 species